GCCCGAUUAGUUCAACUGGAUAGAAUGUCUGCCUACGGAGCAGAUGGUCGUAGGUUCGAAUCCUGCAUCGGGUA
rnacentral:tRNA from 1 species